UACGUAGGGGGCAAGCGUUGUCCGGAUUUAUUGGGCGUAAAGAGCGUGUAGGCGGCUUGGUAGGUCUCGCGUCAAAACCUGAGGCUCAACCUCAGUUCGCGUGGGAAACCACCUAGCUAGAGUCCGGAAGAGGAGAACGGAAUUCCCAGUGUAGCGGUGAAAUGCGCAGAUAUUGGGAAGAACACCAGUGGCGAAGGCGGUUCUCUGGGACGGCACUGACGCUGAGACGCGAAAGCGUGGGGAGCGAACAGG
rnacentral:rRNA from 1 species